GGCUGUCGUCAGCUCGUGUCGUGAGAUGUUGGGUUAAGUCCCGCAACGAGCGCAACCCUUGUCACUAGUUGCCAUCAUUUAGUUGGGCACUCUAGUGAGACUGCCGGUGACAAACCGGAGGAAGGUGGGGAUGACGUCAAGUCCUCAUGGCCCUUAUGGGUAGGGCUUCACACGUCAUACAAUGGUCGGUACAGAGGGUUGCCAAGCCGCGAGGUGGAGCCAAUCCCUUAAAGCCGAUCGUAGUCCGGAUCGUAGUCUGCAACUCGACUACGUGAAGUCGGAAUCGCUAGUAAUCGCAGAUCAGCAUGCUGCGGUGAAUACGUUCCCGGGUCUU
rnacentral:rRNA from 1 species